GACGAACGCUGGCGGCGUGCAUAACGCAUGCAAGUCGAGCGAUGAAGCACCUUCGGGUGUGAAUUAGCGGCGAACGGGUGAGGAACACGUCAGAAAUCUGCCUUCAACUCUGGGAUAACUCCGGGAAAACGGGGCUAAUACCGGAUAUGAAACCUGCGGGCAUCCGCGGGUGUGGAAAGUUUUUCGGUUGAAGAUGAUCUCGCGGCCUAUCAGCUUGUUGGUGAGGUAAUGGCUCACCAAGGCGACGACGGGUAGCCGGCCUGAGAGGGCGACCGGCCACACUGGGACUGAGACACGGCCCAGACUCCUACGGGAGGCAGCAGUGGGGAAUAUUGGGCAAUGGAGGAAACUCUGACCCAGCGACGCCGCGUGCGGGAUGAAGGCCUUCGGGUUGUAAACCGCUUUCAGCAGGGAAGAAGCGAAAGUGACGGUACCUGCAGAAGAAGCACCGGCUAACUAUGUGCCAGCCGCCGCAGUAA
rnacentral:rRNA from 1 species